GUCUUUUUGAUUUUAAUUUAAAGUUUAACCUGCCCAUUGAAAAUUUUUAAAAGGCUGCGGUAUUUUGACUGUACAAAGGUAGCAUAAUCAUUAGUUUUUUAAUUGAAAACUUGUAUGAAUGGUUGGAUGAGAAAUUAACUUUUUUAAAAAAAUAAUUGAAUUUUACUUUUUAAUUAAAAGGUUAAAAUAAAUUUAAAAGACGAGAAGACCCUAUAGAGUUUUAUAAUUUAUAUUUAAUAUUUAAAAAGAUUAAUUAAAAUUUUAUAAAAGAAAAUAUUUUGUUGGGGUGAUAAUAAAAUUUAAAUAACUUUUAUUUUUUUUUACAUUAAUAUAUGAAUUUAUGAUCCAUUAUUGAUGAUUAGAAAUUUAAAUUACCUUAGGGAUAACAGCGUAAUUUUUUUUUAAAGUUCAUAUUAAUAAAAAAUUUUGCGACCUCGAUGUUGGAUUAAGAUUUAAUUUAGGUGCAGCAG
rnacentral:rRNA from 1 species